rnacentral:rRNA from 1 species
AUUGAACGCUGGCGGCAGGCCUAACACAUGCAAGUCGAGCGAGCGGCGGACGGGUGAGUAAUGUAUGGGGAACUGCCUGAUGGAGGGGGAUAACUACUGGAAACGGUAGCUAAUACCGCAUACCAUCAGAUGAACCCAUAUGGGAUUAGCUUGUAGGUAAGGUACCGGCUUACCUAGGCUACGAUCCCUAGCUGGUCUGAGAGGAUGAACAGCCACACUGGAACUGAGACACGGUCCAGACUCCUACGGGAGGAAGCAGUGGGGAAUAUUGCACAAUGGGCGCAAGCCUGAUGCAGCCAUGCCGCGUGUAUGAAGAAGGCCUUCGGGUUGUAAAGUACUUUCAGUGAGGAGGCGUUACCGGCAGAAGAAGCACCGGCUAACUCCGUGCCAGCAGCCGCGGUAAUUC